UUAUCUUUCUCGGCCUUUUAGCUAAGAUUAAGUGUAAUAUAUGUUCUUAUCAAUUUAAUGUCUGAUAUGUGAGACAAUGAUUCACACGAUAUUAACUCUAUUUUUUAGGUGAAGGUCCAUCACGGUAACUUGUUAUCCGGAUCUUCAAUCAUCGACAUGGUGUUGCACUAUAACCUUGCCCUAGUCCAUCCCAC
rnacentral:snRNA from 1 species